rnacentral:lncRNA from 1 species
ACAAAAACUUUUAGUAAUAGUAGUAAUAACAACAUAAAAGAAUCCACCGACAUUAUGUAUUUAUGUAAAACUGUGUCUUGUAAUAAUAAAACGAAUAAUUUGAAUUUUUGCCAUGACUCCGUUUCUACCUAUGCUCCAAAUUUAGACAGUAGUUUAUACCAAUAUUUAAAUAAUAAAAAGGAUGAUGGAGAAAGGAAUAAGGAGGAAGGGGCAUAUAAUAUACUAACUAUAUUAAACGAGAAUAACACUGAUUUUGUUGAUUCUAAAAAAACAGAUAACUUAAAAAGUGAUAGUAAAAAUGGAAGUGAUCACUCUGACAUAAACGAGAGUAGCACAAGUUAUAAAAGUAGCGAACUGAUUAAUGAAAAUAGCCAAGAUUUAAGUAGAAAAAGAAGGAAAGACAACAGUGUUGAAAAAAGUAGCGAAAGUAGUAGUGAUCGUGUACCUAACUGUGAUGACAAUGUUUUUUUAUGCGAAGACGACAAUCGAAAUAGCACCAACGACAACAACAUCGAAAACGACAAAAAUGACACAACUGCUUGUACUCAUGAUGAUACACAAAACAUAAAUAAAAACGAAAUAGUAACACAAAAGAAUAACUUAAAAAGAAAUCUAAAAAAUGAUUAUAAUAAUAAUAUGAAUAAAAAACUAAAAAUGAAUGAAUACUCUUUACUUAAUUUAAAUAUAUACAAAAACAUUCAAUCAGAUAUAUACAGGAAUAAUGCUUAUAAUACAUACGUAUUAAACAACCUUCGUAAUUCUUAUUUGAAAAUUAAGCUAAAUGAAGCAAACCUUAAAAUGAGUAAUAAUAUAACAAGCGAAGAAAACAAAAAAGACUCGCCUUAUAAUUGUAGCAAUAAUAAUAACAAUAUGAAUGGCAACAAUAAUAAUAUUAGUAACAACUGUACUUAUGCAUCUUUUAAAAACAAUGAUAAUGGAUAUACUUUACAAAAAAAAAUUAACAGGAUUUCUCCUGAAAGUAACCAUACUAAUUUAUCAUCCAUUUUUAAUACUGUGAUAAAUAAUAAAAUAAAUAGCGAGGAAAGAGAAAUUGCAUUUGAUGUUAAUGAAAAAAUAAAACAAAAUGAUAUUAUGAUUAAUUCUAACAAUUUUAAUACACAAAAUUCAAAUAAUAAUAUGCAUAAGAAAUAUGUUAAUAAAAACAAAAAAAACGUUGUAGGGUACAUGCACGAGUCAUUGAAACGGGAUACAUAUAGUGGUUGCUUAAACGUUAGUAAUAACACUAGUUAUAGCAAUGACAACUACAGUAACAACGGAUGUAGUAACAACAAUCAAUACAGUAACAACAACCAAAGCAGCAACAACCACAGUAACAACCUUCCGACAGAGAUGCCAUACAAUAAAGAUUUCCAUUUAAACUU